rnacentral:rRNA from 1 species
GAUGAACGCUAGCGGCAGGCUUAACACAUGCAAGUCGAGGGGCAUCAGCCGAUGUAGCAAUACAUUGGUGUUGGCGACCGGCGUAAGGGUGCGUAACGCGUGAGCAACAUGCCCGCAACAGGCGGAUAGACCGUGGAAACGCGGCGUAAACCGCCAUAGGACCAGUAGCAGCAUUGCAACAGGUUGAAAUCUUCGGAGGUUGCGGAUUGGCUCGCGUAACAUUAGCUAGAUGGAGAGGUAACGGCUCACCAUGGCUACGAUGUUUAGGGGAACUGAGAGGUUGACCCCCCACACUGGAACUGAGACACGGUCCAGACUCCUACGGGAGGCAGCAGUGAGGAAUAUUGGACAAUGGAUGGAAAUCUGAUCCAGCCAUGCCGCGUGCAGGAAGAAGGUCCUAUGGAUUGUAAACUGCUUUAGUGCGGGAGCAAUAAGGUCCACGAGUGGACCGAUGAGAGUACCGCAAGAAUAAGCAUCGGCUAACUCCGUGCCAGCAGCCGCGGUAAUACGGGGGAUGCAAGCGUUAUCCGGAUUUAUUGGGUUUAAAGGGUGCGUAGGCGGUCUGUCAAGUCGGCGGUGAAAACAGCAUGCUAAACAUGGUGCUUGCCGUCGAGACUGGUGGGCUUGAAUGUGGAUGAUGCCGGCGGAAUGUGUAAAGUAGCGGUGAAAUGCAUAGAUAUUACACAGAAGGUCGAUUGCGAAAGCAGCUGGCAAAGGCACUAUUGACGCUGAGGCACGAAAGUGCGGGGAUCGAACAGGAUUAGAUACCCUGGUAGUCCGCACAGUAAACGAUGAUAACUAACUGUCGGCGAUACACAGUCGGUGGUAAAGAGAAAUCGAUAAGUUAUCCACCUGGGGAGUACGACCGCAAGGUUGAACUCAA